rnacentral:rRNA from 1 species
UACAGAGGGUGCGAGCGUUAAUCGGAAUUACUGGGCGUAAAGCGUGCGUAGACGGCUAUCUAAGUCGGGUGUGAAAGCCCCGGGCUCAACCUGGGAAUUGCAUUCGAGACUGAAUAGCUAGGGUACGGUAGAGGGAAGUGGAAUUUCCGGUGUAGCGGUGAAAUGCGUAGAUAUCGGAAGGAACACCCGCGGCGAAGGCGGCCCGCUGGGCCACCCCUGACGCUGAGGCGCGAAGGCCCGGGGAGCGAACGGG